rnacentral:rRNA from 1 species
AGCAGCCGCGGUAAUUCCAGCUCCAAUAGCGUAUAUUAAAGUUGUUGCAGUUAAAAAGCCGUAGUUGAAUUUCGGGAUCAAAUUGUUGGUCGUGCUUCGGUACGCACUGGCAUUAUUGUUCCUACCUUCUGAAGAACCGCGAUGUCAUUAAUUUGGUGUCGUGGGGAAUCAGGACUGUACUUUGAAAAAAUUAGAGUGUUUAAAGCAGGCUCACGCUUGAAUACAUUAGCAUGGAAAAUGAAAUAGGACGUUUGAUUCUAUUUUGU